CGCGCAUGUGUGUCUGUGUCAUAACAAGCUCUUCAUGAGGUCUGACGGCUCUGAACUCUCCUGGCUGGUGCAUUGUGCGGAGCAAACACACUAAUUGAUCGCGGCGCAGAACAAUGGACUGACCACCCCAGAGUCCAGACCUCAACACCACUGAACGAGUUUAUCACUUGGGUGGUGAGAAGCCGAAAGUGCAACCAGCCCCUAAGACUGAACUUGAUUCUUUGAGAACUGAAAGUGAGUCUCCUGAGAAGAACGGAGGCCGUAAUGAAGUAUCUGCUGGACCUCCCCUGUAGCAGAGAUGGAAACACAGACAGACAGAGAGAAAAGUGAGAAAUGCAGAUAGAGAUAAAGCUCAGCCAGACAGACGGGCGCUGAGCUCCAGCUGUCUUUAUCACUCACUCGCAGCUCACCUCGGUAUUCUGGACACCCACGUUCCCUUGCUGCAGAGGAUCCCUCUGAAGAUUAUUUCCCAGAUGAGGAGAAGAUGACCUCCAACACGCUCAACUUACUUCCUAACUUCUCUGUCUGGAAAGUGUGGGUCAUUGUACACUACUGUGCAAAGGUCUUUUAAAGGAUUCUAUUGGAAGUGACCGAGGCGGCAGAACGAGAUGUGUGGAAAACGCUGGAGUGAUCCUUUAAAGAUGACACACCAAUAAAGCCC